UACGUAGGGUGCGAGCGUUAAUCGGAAUUACUGGGCGUAAAGCGUGCGCAGGCGGUUUUGUAAGCCAGGUGUGAAAUCCCCGGGCUCAACCUGGGAAUGGCAUUUGGGACUGCAAGGCUGGAGUGCGGCAGAGGAGACUGGAAUUCCUGGUGUAGCAGUGAAAUGCGUAGAGUAUCAGGAGGAACACCGAUGGCGAAGGCAGGUCUCCUGGGCUGACACUGACGCUCAUGCACG
rnacentral:rRNA from 1 species